rnacentral:rRNA from 1 species
GCACAAGCGGUGGAGCAUGUGGUUUAAUUCGAUGAUACGCGAGGAACCUUACAGGGUUUAAAUGCAGAACGACAGGGGUGGAAACACCCCUUUCUUCGGACGGACUGCAAGGUGCUGCAUGGUUGUCGUCAGCUCGUGCUGUGAAGUGUCGGGUUAAGUCCCAUAACGAGCGCAACCCCCAUUUCUAGUUGCCAGCGGUUCGGCCGGGGACUCUAGAGAAACUGCCAGCGUAAGCUGUGAGGAAGGUGGGGAUGACGUCAAAUCAUCACGGCCCUUACAUCCUGGGCCACACACGUGCUACAAUGGUGGGGACAACAGGUUGCCAACCCGCGAGGGUGAGCCAAUCCCAAAACCCCAUCUCAGUUCGGAUCGGAGUCUGCAACUCGACUCCGUGAAGUUGGAAUCGCUAGUAAUCGCGGAUCAGCCAUGCCGCGGUGAAUACGUUCCCGGGCCUUGUACACACCGCCCGUCAAGCCAUGGAAGCUGGGGGCGCCUGAAGUCGGUCACCGUAAGGAGCUGCCUAGGGCGAAUCUGGUAACUGGGGCUAAGUCGUAACAAGGUAACCA